rnacentral:rRNA from 1 species
CCUACGGGUGUCUGCAGUGGGGAAUAUUGCGCAAUGGGCGAAAGCCUGACCCAGCAACGCCGCGUGAAGGAAGAAGGCUUUCGGGUUGUACACUUCUUUUGACAGGGAAGAGCAGAAGACGGUACCUGUCGAAUACGCCACGGCUCACUCCGUGCCAGCCGCCGCGGUAAUACGUAGGUCGCAAGCGUUGUCCGGAUUUACUGGGUGGAAAGGGCGUGUAGCCGGGCUGACUAGUCAGAUGUGAAAUCCGGGGGCUCAACCCCCGAACAGCAUUUGAAACGGUUGGUCUUGAGUAUCGGAGAGGCAGGCGGAAUUCCUGGUGUAGCGGUGAAAUGCGUAGAUAUUAGGAGGAACACCAGUGGCGAAGGCGGCCUGCUGGACGACAACUGACGGUGAGGCGCGAAAGCGUGGGGAGCAAACAGGAUUAGAUACCCCUGUAGUC